rnacentral:rRNA from 1 species
GACAGAGGGUGCAAACGUUGUUCGGAUUUACUGGGCGUAAAGCGCGUGUAGGCGGCCCGGAAAGUCGGAUGUGAAAGCCCUGGGCUUAACCCAGGAAGUGCAUUCGAAACUCCCGGGCUUGAGUUCUGGAGAGGAAGGCGGAAUUCUCGGUGUAGAGGUGAAAUUCGUAGAUAUCGAGAGGAACACCGGUGGCGAAGGCGGCCUUCUGGACAGUGACUGACGCUGAGACGCGAAAGCGUGGGGAGCAAACAGG